CGCCUGGGGAGUGCGGUCGCAAGAUUAAAACUCAAAUGCAUUGACGGGGGCCCGCACAAGCGGUGGAGCAUGUGGUUUAAUUCGAUGCAACGCGAAGAACCUUACCUACUCUUGACAUCCAGAGAACCUUUUAGAGAUAGAAGGGUGCCUUCGGGAACUCUGAGACAGGUGCUGCAUGGCUGUCGUCAGCUCGUGUUGUGAAAUGUUGGGUUAAGUCCCGCAACGAGCGCAACCCUUAUCCUUGUUUGCCAGCACUUCGGGUGGGAACUCCAGGGAGACUGCCGGUGAUAAACCGGAGGAAGGUGGGGACGACGUCAAGUCAUCAUGGCCCUUACGAGUAGGGCUACACACGUGCUACAAUGGCAUAUACAGAGGGCUGCCAACUCGCGAGAGUGAGCGAAUCCAUAAAGUAUGUCGUAGUCCGGAUUGGAGUCUGCAACUCGACUCCAUGAAGUCGGAAUCGCUAGUAAUCGUGGGUCAGAAUGCCACGGUGAAUACGUUCCCGGGCCUUGAACACACCGCCCGUC
rnacentral:rRNA from 1 species